AUGACAGCCAUGCAAAACACAGUGGGUGCUGAGAGCAUGACGAGGAAGGCGCAGCCAUACCGCGGCCCUAAAAGGUCGCAGAUGGCACCCAUGGCAAGCCUGGAGAAGAUGGACCCAGACACAGAUGCCACACCGGCAUUCCCUAUGUCGGCCUUGGCGAGGUUGAGGUUGUCACGGAUGAUGGGCACGAGCGGCGCCGCGGCAAAGGUGGAGACGAAGCAGGUGAAGAAGGAGAUCCAGGAGAGGUGGAAGGUGCGCAUGUGGGGGUUGGCGAAGGAGAAGAGCCUGAAGGACUUGGCCUUGUGCUCGGAGUCCACGGGCAGCGUGAACUUGCUCGCCGCCGUGUCGCCAUGGGAGCUCGUCUCCACCUCCAUAUCUUCCUCUCCUCUCCUUGCCGAGCUAGGCUUCUUCUCUGCUAGCUCCUUGGAGCUAAGCUGA
rnacentral:rRNA from 1 species